rnacentral:rRNA from 1 species
AUUGAACGCUGGCGGCAUGCUUUACACAUGCAAGUCGAACGGCAGCGGGGGCUUCGGCCCGCCGGCGAGUGGCGAACGGGUGAGUAAUGCAUCGGAACGUGCCCAGUCGUGGGGGAUAACACAUCGAAAGAUGUGCUAAUACCGCAUACGUCCUGAGGGAGAAAGCGGGGGAUCUUCGGACCUCGCGCGAUUGGAGCGGCCGAUGUCGGAUUAGCUAGUUGGUGGGGUAAAAGCCCACCAAGGCGACGAUCCGUAGCGGGUCUGAGAGGAUGAUCCGCCACACUGGGACUGAGACACGGUCCAGACUCCUACGGGAGGCAGCAGUGGGGAAUAUUGCACAAUGGGCGAAAGCCUGAUGCAGCAACGCCGCGUGAGUGAUGAAGG